CAGGAGAAUGGGAAAACCACUGGUUUACUUGGAACAUACAAGAUGAACUGGCACAGAGAGACAGAAAACACAGGGAUAAAUCCACUGGGGAAAACAAGCGACACCUGCAGGGGGUGGAGACAAUAACGAGGACAGGUGAAACUGAUCAGGGUGUGACAGCAGUCCUCAGGAUUAAGGAGCGAUGUGUUUAUAAAAAAGUUGUUUGAAUAUUACAACAUAUAUUAUGUAGGAUUUUUAAAAAAUCACAAUUUUUUUUAUCCAACUACUGUCUAAUUUUGAUAUCCUCUUAAAAUAUUUCAGAGUGAUGACCAAUGAUUUAAUGUGCCACUUCAAUAUGAAGGGACAGAGGAGCAAACAUGCCUUUGCUACCACUCUUGUGUGAUCCAUUGUAGUUGUAAGUGUCAUGAAAAUCCAGAAAACUCAGGAGGUUGAUGAGUUUGCGGGCACUCUGGAAAGACCUAAAAUUUACCCUGACCGCCGUGGUGGAGGAGGACGCAAAAUCUGACCCAUCACACCAGUCUUCAAGAGGGCCACUAUGCUUCAGGUCGCCUUCUGUGAUCAGAGAACCUUGAUGAGGAUCUACCCCAUCACACAACUCUUAAUUUUUUAUUUAUUAUCUAACUAGGCAAGUCAGUUGAGAACAAAUUCUUAUUUUCAAUGACGGCCUAGGAACAGUGGGAUAACUGCCUUGUUCAGGGGCAGAACGACAGAUUUGUACCUUGUAAGCUCGGGGAUUCAAACUUGUAACCUUUCGGUAGUAGACUGGUUGCAAGUUUGAUUCCCCGAGCUGACAAGGUACAAAUCUGCCGCCCCAAUUAAUCAAAUAAAACUAUGGGCAUUUAUAUAUGCUGUGUCCCAGUCUUUCUUUGCAU
rnacentral:lncRNA from 1 species